GGCCAGAUGGUGUAAUGGUUACAUGUCCUUCUGUUAUAGUGUGUACUCCAUUAAACAGUUGCAUGAAAGUUCCCGGUUCAAUUCCGGGUCUGGCCA